UUUGUUGCACAGUGGCAAUAUUGGAGCCAAUGAGGUUUAUCCAAGGCACAAUUAUUGUGAACUGAAAACUUUAAACCUGGAUUCUAACACACAUAUUAGUUUGUGUGUUUUUGAAGUUUGUAUAAAUAGAAUAAUAUA
ensembl:snRNA U4 U4 spliceosomal RNA